AUGCUUGUUACUCAACUUGAAUUGGAUGUCAUUGGCUUUGAGCACAUAAAAGACUUGUAUGCGCAUGAUCCUACUUUUGAUAUUCCUUAUGCCAAGUAUUCGACGCAUACCUCUUGGGAUCGUUAUUACAUCAAAGAUGGAUAUCUUAUGAGAGCUAACAAACUUUGCAUCCCCGAGUCUUCUCUUCGUUUGUUGCUUUUGCAGAAAUCUCAUGGAGGGGGACUAAUGGAACAUUUUGGACGCGACAAGACAUUCGCUACGCUCUCCAAGAACUAUUAUUGGCCCAAGAUGUUCCGCGACGUCAACCGCUUCACCAACCGAUGCUCUACAUGUCGCAAAGCUAAGUCUAAAGCUCAAUCUCAUGGCCUUUAA
rnacentral:rRNA from 1 species